AGCAAUAAACAAUAUAGUUUACAGGACACCUGUCCCGUCGUCCAAAAAUAUCAGCUGUUUGGAUCCGAGGGUCACCGACUUCAUCAUCUUUGUGCUGUUGGGGGAGAUGGACUGGAGCGGAUCUGGAUGGGAGGAUUGCAAUAUGAGUUCGGUCCAUUUGAGGAGGAAUCGGCGAUGAGGGGUGGAAUGCAUGCUAUGCAGGUCGGUGACCCGAGGUCCAGGUUGAGAGUGCAAGAUUUCGUCGAGGAGGAUAUCGAUUUGAACAAGGCGAUGGAAGACCCGCUGACGCCCAGAAUCGAUGAACCGGCGAACGGCGGCGAGGUGCGGAACCUGGCGGACAGCAGCAGGCAUGCCUACAUCUUUUUUCUCCUCGACCACGUUCCUUCGGUUAUUUGUUUGGACACUCAGCAUUGAUCUGCUUUUCGUCGGUUAUCAAAUUGUGGUGCGGUGUGGAACAUGGCACUGCUGCAGAUUUCGAUCUGAACAAGGGAGUGCUUUGCGAGUUUGACGAGUGCAUCUUCGACACUGUCUGAAAGGGAAGGAUUUGAAGAGGGAGCAGUACAUUCAGUCGAUCUAGAAAAUAGGAAUGGGAGCUAGGAAAGUGGUUGCUGCAGUAGCAUUUGGGAUGGGCAACAGCAGUCUGUAUCUGCCUCUGAUCAUUCUUCAAGUAAUCAGCUGGAGGAGAAUGGUGAUGUAUCUGAACAUGAACUGAGACAGGGAUGGGAGAGGAGGCAAGCACCGCCCACCAUUUGACCUGUUUCCAUCGUCUGUUCGAGGGUGGGAGUCUGAGACGAGAUGGAUGUGGCAGGUUCCCUCACCGCCAAUCGAGAGGAGGGGGGCGGGGGAGCAGGGGGGCGGGGGCGAACCGGCGACCAUCCCGGCCGGCCGUCGUGCCUGUGCGCCUCACGGGGGCGCUGUACCGGGGGCUGGGGAGCGGCUUCUCAGUGGUCUCGAGAUCUCUCAAAUCAUCUCAUCUGUAGUCCCAAACUUUAUUUCAGUUCUCCCAGAAUGGAUGAGCUGUUGGAACAGUCAAGAAUGGAAGGAAUUAAUGACUUCUUUGUGAUAUUAGUUGGAAAAAUGGCUACUAAAAAAACAAUAGCUCAACAGAGAUGCACUUUGUUCUUUUUUAUUUGCUUGUGGAAUAUAGUGCUUGUGAAAUAUGUGUGCCAAAUGGUACAGAAAAAUGUUAUAUUUGUUCCAUAUAUGUUGUGUGAAAUCAGUGUAAAUUUUGAACAAACAACUUUCAUCUCUUUUUAACAAAAUUUGAAAACAUAAUGCUAUCAAA